GAUCUCGUAGCUCAGUUGGUAGAGCAUCCCGAUUUUAUCGGGAGGGCCAUGGGUUCGAAAUCAAUCUUGCUAA
rnacentral:tRNA from 1 species